GUUGAUCCUGCCGGAGGCCAUUGCUUUCGGGGUCCGAUUUAGCCAUGCUAGUCGCACGGGUUUAGACCCGUGGCGAACAGUUCAGUAACACGUGGCCAAACUACCCUAUGGAUCGGGAUAACCUUGGGAAACUGAGGCUAAUCCCGAAUAGGGCUCGCAUCUUGGAGUAGAGCGAGCCUGAAAUGCUCCGGCGCCAUAGGAUGUGGCUGCGGCCGAUUAGGUAGACGGUGGGGUAACGGCCCACCGUGCCCGUAAUCGGUACGGGGCAUGAGAGUGCGAGCCCGGAGACGGUAUCUGAGACAAGAUACCGGGCCCUACGGGGCGCAGCAGGCGCGAAACCUUUACACUGCGCGAGAGCGCGAUAAGGGGACCCCGAGUGCGAGGGCAUACAGUCCUCGCUGUUCCGGACCGUAGGGAGGUCCAGGAGCAAGGGCUGGGCAAGACCGGUGCCAGCCGCCGCGGU
rnacentral:rRNA from 1 species